rnacentral:rRNA from 1 species
AGACCCGAAACCCGGUGAUCUAGCCAUGGGCAGGUUGAAGGUUGGGUAACACUAACUGGAGGACCGAACCGACUAAUGUUGAAAAAUUAGCGGAUGACCUGUGGCUGGGGGUGAAAGGCCAAUCAAACCGGGAGAUAGCUGGUUCUCCCCGAAAGCUAUUUAGGUAGCGCCUCGUGAAUUCAUCUCCGGGGGUAGAGCACUGUUUCGGCUAGGGGGCCAUCCCGGCUUACCAACCCGAUGCAAACUGCGAAUACCGGAGAAUGUUAUCACGGGAGACACACGGCGGGUGCUAACGUCCGUCGUGAAGAGGGAAACAACCCAGACCGCCAGCUAAGGUCCCAA